CUUCAGUUGGUGUGUGUCGAAGAAUCCUGACCAACUACGACCUGAGGAGAGCCACCAACCGAGAAGGUCCACCAAGCUUCGCCAAGGUCCGCUGAGUGGGCUGCGGUCCGGAGCCUUCUCCGGACCGCGGUCACCCAGUGGGCCCGGCCGUCGCCGGACCCCUCAUCCUUCGUGUCAUCGCAGAGGAUCCUCGUGUGAUGACAAGUCACACUUUAGUCACCUGUGUGCUCUGCUUAUUGGAAAUGCCAUAGGAACAACUUAAGACAAAAGGAAAAUAUCUCCAGGAACAGGCGGGUCUUAAAAACCAAAACCACGCGGAC
ensembl:lncRNA